ensembl:lncRNA
GCAAAUUAUCACAAUCUAUUGGAUAAUUUGUCAAGUUUAAUUUAUUUUUGCGCUAGUCUUGCCUAAAUGGUCAAAUUGUGUGCGAAACGAUUGCAUUUUGGAACCCGGACACAACGGAUAACGUUAGUUAGCGACACUCACAGCUAUCAGUGCCAGAGUAUGUGAGCGGAGCAUGCCCAAUUUGACUGGAGCGAGUUCCAGAAAGGCUGGAGCGUGGCAAAAUAUUUUCCUCAAGAAACUGAUAAAACACACAGGUGCAACAUCAAGGUGCCUUACAAAGAUGAGGAGGAUGGAGAGCGGUGGUGUAGUGUGCACAACUAAAUAAUCAUCGUGGAAUCUGAAGACGGGUGAAAGCAUGAUGGUCUCCCUCUCUCCUAGCUGUGCGGCAUGAAACAUUUAUGCAUGAUGAACCAUGGUCUACCUCCACCACCACCGUGCCCUGACAGGGAAGACAGAAGGAACUAUGCUCAGCAGGUGACAGACAAACAUAUGUCUCUGAUGCCACAGGGUCUUGCAGCCUGAGCUGGAUCAUCUCCAAAGGCUAACUGGCAGGACCAAGUAGGAAGGAUGGGCUUUAAUGCAGAUUAUUCGCAAAGAGCAAUGGUCGAUCACGAGAACGGCACCCAGUGUGUACCCAGCUGCUUGGUUGGCAAACGGCUCCGACUGAUGCCAGGAUUUCUAGACAAGGGAAUCUGGUUCAGCAGGCAACCGUUGUGGAACGUUGUAUUAGACAUGCCAUGAAUAGAAUAUGUGAUUCCUUAUUCUACAUAUUAAAGGGGCAUGUUUGUUCUACAGAUUCUAUUUCUAUGUGAACAUUACACAUUGUACCCGUCUGAUUGCGGCCCAAGCCAGGGGUUUGUGUUUUACCCUGUAUUCGUUAAAAUUCCCCACAAAAGACAACAUGCUUUGCAACAAGCCAUUUUCCCUUUUAUUUAAACCCAUUCUGGCUGCUGUAUUGUACCGCUGUGUCAAUGAACCAGUGCUUUGGUACGACAGCAUCAGUUCUUUCAGUAGUCCCCAUCUCCAAUAAGAACAAAAUCCUUAAAACCCUGUAUGGCUUCCAUGCUUAUCAUUAUGCACCCCAAACAUUCACAACCUCAAUUAACAUGAAUUUAAAAAAUCAUCCAUCAUAGACUUGGACCAGUGACUAACCUGUAAAUCACUGCAUUGUGAUGCUGCCCUCUGGCUGCAGAUGCCUGUACUGCAAGGAGCUGAACAGAGGUCGCCCCUGCAUGGUUAACUUCGGGGUGAUGUUUCCCCUAUGUACAGAUUUUGGAUCAGAUUGCCUCCCCCAAUCCAAUCCUUAACCAUUAGUGGGGG